rnacentral:rRNA from 1 species
GAUGAACGCUGGCGGCGUGCCUAAUACAUGCAAGUCGAGCGAACAGACGAGGAGCUUGCUCCUCUGACGUUAGCGGCGGACGGGUGAGUAACACGUGGAUAACCUACCUAUAAGACUGGGAUAACUUCGGGAAACCGGAGCUAAUACCGGAUAAUAUAUUGAACCGCAUGGUUCAAUAGUGAAAGACGGUUUUGCUGUCACUUAUAGAUGGAUCCUCGCCGCAUUAGCUAUUUGGUAAGGUAACGGCUUAUCAAGGCGACGAUGCGUAGCCGACCUGAGAGGGUGAUCGGCCACACCGGAACUGAGACACGGUCCAGACUCCUACGGGAGGCAGCAGUAGGGAAUCUUCCGCAAUGGGCGAAAGACUGACGGAGCAACGCCGCGUGAGUGAUGAAGGGCUUCGGAUCGUAAAACUCUGUUAUUAGGGAAGAACAAAUGUGUAAGUAACUAUGCACGUCUUGACGGUACCUAAUCAGAAAGCCACGGCUAACUACGUG